GAUGAACGCUGGCGGCGUGCCUAAUACAUGCAAGUAGAACGCUGAAGGAAGGAGCUUGCUCUUUCCGGAUGAGUUGCGAACGGGUGAGUAACGCGUAGGUAACCUGCCUGGUAGCGGGGGAUAACUAUGGGAAACGAUAGCUAAUACCGCAUAACAGUAGAUGUUGCAUGAUAUCUACUUAAAAGGUGCAAUUGCCCCACUACCAGAUGGACCUGCGUUGUAUUAGCUAGUUGGUGAGGUAACGGCUCACCCAAGCGACGGUACAUAGCCGACCUGAAAGGGUGAACGGCCAAACUGGGACCGGGAAACGGCUCAGACUCCUACCGGAAGCAGCAGGAGGGGAUCUUCGGCCAUGGACGGAAGGCUGACCGAGCAACGACGGGGGAGUGAAGAAAGUUCUCCGGUCGUAAAGCUCUGUUGUUAGAGAAGAACGAGCGUGAGGGUGGAAAGUUCACACUGUGACGGUACCUUACCAGAAAGCACCGGCUAACUACGUG
rnacentral:rRNA from 1 species